rnacentral:rRNA from 1 species
AAUCAUUUGACUAGUAUGCGUUAAGUCCUUCUAAGCUCAAAUGAUCUGGCGGUAAAUUAUCUUUUUAGAGGAACCUGUAGAUUAAUCGAUAAACCACGAUAAUUUUUACUUACACUAUUAAUUUGUAUACCUCUAUUUUGAAUGUUUUGAAAGAAAAUUUUCUUUAACUUAAGAAUCAUGUUAGGUCAAGGUGCAGCUUUUUUAAGAUUCUAUGGGUUACAUUUAACUAUAAAUUUAAUAAGAUUUAUAUCCCCUGGGGAAUUUUGAAUAAGGAUUUAAUAGUAAUAUAAUUUAAUUUAAUUUUAUGAACUUAUGCUCUAUUUUAUGUACA